rnacentral:lncRNA from 1 species
CACUCCAAACCUUAGGAUUGUAUGAUGAUCUUCUUAUUAGUAGUAGUAGUAGUAGUAUUGAGAGGCUGGGUGGCCAUCUCGUGGGAGUGCUUGGAUUGUGUCCUGCAUGGCAGAAUUGGGUUGGACUGGAUGGCCUUUAGGGGUGUCUCCUAACUGUCUGAUGCUAUGAUUCAAUGUGUAUUAUUAUUGUGCAGAUAUUGGAUGGCCAUCUGUCAGGAGUGGUUGGAUUGUUUCCUCCUGCAUGAUAUAAGGAAGUUGAACUGGAUGAUUCUUAGGGGUAUCUGCUAACCUUAGGAUUGUAUGAUAUUCUUCUUCUUCUUCUUCUUCUUCUUCUUCUUCUUCUUCUUUUCUUAUUAUUAUUGAGAGGCUGGGUGGCCAUCUGUUGGGCAUGCUUGGAUUGUGUCCUCCAGGGCAGAAUUGGGUUGGACUGGAUUACCACAGUAAUUAUUUCAUAUUACAGUAGAAUCUCACUUAUCCAACAUUCGCUUAUCCAGUGUUCUGGAUUAUCCAACGCAGUCUGCCUUUUAGUAGUCAAUGUUUUUGUAGUCAAUGUUUUAAAUUCAUUGUGAUAUUUUGGUGCUAAAUUUGUAAAUACAGUAAUGACAACAUAGCAUUACUGAGCAUUGAACUACUUUUUCUGUCAAAUUUGUUGUAUAACAUUAUGUUUGGUGCUUAAUUUGUAUAAUCAUUACCUAAUUUGAUGUUUACUCGGCUUUUCCUGAAUCCCUUCUUAUUAUUCCAACAUAUUCACAUAUCCAACGUUCUGCCGGCCUAUUUAUGUUCGAUAAGUGAGACUCUACUGUAUAUUUAUAAUCUUAUAUUAUCUGCGUAGAACUGGAGUAUAUGAGGCCCCUUCUACACAGCUGUAUAAAAUGCACACUGAAGUGGAUUAUCUGGCAGUGUGGACUCAAGAUAAUCCAGUGCAAAGCAGAUAAUAUAAGAUUAUAAAUGGGUAAUAUAGCUGUGUGGAAGGGCCUUGAGUCUACACUGCCAUAUAAUCCAGUGAAAAUUAGGUAAUCUGUAUUUUAUAGGCAGUGUGGAAGAGGCCUGAGGCCUAACUGUGCCUGUCCCCUGGGCUGAGUAGGUUGCUAGGAGACCAAGUGGUCAGAGUUUAGCCUUGUAACUGGCAGCAAUUGGAUAAAAAACAAUUAUUCCUCUCCCUCUAAUUAGGACUUUAUUUUUCUUUUCUUUUUGUUGUAUGAACGUAGAGGCAUAGAUGAGGGGUUGUGUUGCCAAGAUUAGUGUUUCUGGGAUGUGUAGUUUUGUUGUUUUGUACUAGGCCGAACUUUUUUUAUCCUUUUAUAUAUAUAGAUUGCAAAGUCAAGGGGUUUUUUUUGGAUUAAAUAAUAUUUUAAAACUGUGGAUAGUUGAAUCUGUAGAUACAGAAUCCACCAAUAUGAAGGACCAACUGCAUUUCCUUUCUUGCAGAUAUGUGCAUUAGCUCUAGUAAUUUUGGGUAAGACCCCACAAGUUCAGAAAAAAAGACCAAUGGAUCACUUAAGUUUUCUUUUGACUUUGCUGUAAUGUGCAAAGUGGCUUUGAAGGUUGACAAUCAUCCCAUUCCUUCCAUUCACUCUAUAGAGAGGCAGUGUAUCCUCCAACAUUUGGGGAUAGAAAGGGCAAGACAUUAGAAUUCACUAGAUUCAGAAAAU